GAUGAACGCUGACAGAAUGCUUAACACAUGCAAGUCGAUUCAAUUUACCUUCGGGUAUUGAGGAUGGCGGACGGGUGAGUAACGCGUAAGGAACUUGCCUCUUGGUCUGGGACAACUGUUGGAAACGACAGCUAAUACCGGAUAUUAUGAGAUUCUCGCAUGGGAAACUUAUGAAAGCUAUAUGCGCCAAGAGAGAGCCUUGCGUUCCAUUAGCUAGUUGGUGGGGUAACGGCCCACCAAGGCGACGAUGGAUAGCCGGCCUGAGAGGGUGAACGGCCACAAGGGGACUGAGACACGGCCCUUACUCCUACGGGAGGCAGCAGUGGGGAAUAUUGGACAAUGGGCCACAAGCCUGAUCCAGCAAUUCUGUGUGCACGAUGAAGGUCUUCGGAUUGUAAAGUGCUUUCAGUUGGGAAGAAGAAAGUGACGGUACCAACAGAAGAAGCGACGGCUAAAUACGUGCCAGCAGCCGCGGUAAUACGUAUGUCGCAAGCGUUAUCCGGANUUAUUGGGCGUAAAGCGCGUCUAGGCGGAAAAAUAAGUCUGAUGUUAAAAUGCGGGGCUCAACUCCGUAUUGNNUUGGAAACUGUUUUUCUAGAGUACUGGANAGGUGGGCGGAACUACAAGUGUAGAGGUGAAAUUC
rnacentral:rRNA from 1 species